UACGUAGGGGGCAAGCGUUGUCCGGAAUCAUUGGGCGUAAAGAGCGUGUAGGCGGUCCGGUAAGUCGGUUGUGAAAGUCCAGGGCUCAACCCUGGGAUGCCGAUCGAUACUGUCGGACUAGAGUUCGGAAGAGGCGAGUGGAAUUCCCGGUGUAGCGGUGAAAUGCGCAGAUAUCGGGAGGAACACCAAUGGCGAAGGCAGCUCGCUGGGACGUUACUGACGCUGAGGAGCGAAAGCGUGGGUAGCAAACAGG
rnacentral:rRNA from 1 species